AGGACUAGAGUGUCGGAGAGGUAAGUGGAAUUCCUAGUGUAGCGGUGAAAUGCGUAGAUAUUAGGAGGAACACCAGCGGCGAAGGCGGCUUACUGGACGAUAACUGACGUUGAGGCUCGAAAGCGUGGGGAGCAAACAGGAUUAGAUACCCUGGUAGUCCCCU
rnacentral:rRNA from 1 species